CAUAUACUCCCUCUAUCCUGAAUUACUCGUCGUAAAAGUGGAUAGAAAUAGAUGUAUCUAGAACUAAAAAUACGUCUAGAUAUAUCCAUUUUUACGAUAAGUAAUACAGAAUGGAGGAAGUAUGUG
rfam:Triticum aestivum genome assembly, contig: Triticum_aestivum_CS42_TGACv1_scaffold_249615_3DL